AAUUUGUAUAGUUUAUAAAAAAUAUUGCACUUUCACUGCAAAGAUAGAUUUUUAAUCUUACAAAUUAC
rnacentral:tRNA from 1 species